GACGAACGCUGGCGGCGUGCUUAACACAUGCAAGUCGAACGAAGUGGCGAACGGGUGAGUAACGUGUAAUCAACCUGCCCUUCAGAGGGGGACAACAGUUGGAAACGACUGCUAAUACCGAAUACUGCAUGAGGGGAUUGCGUGUGAUUAGCUAGUUGGAGGGGCAACGGUCCACCAAGGCGAAGAUCAGUAGCCGGGCUGAGAGGAUGAACGGCCACAUUGGGAAUGAGACACGGCCCAGACUCCUACGGGAGGCAGCAGGGGGGAAUCUUCCGAAAUGGACGAAAGUCUGACGGAGCACCGCCGCGUGAUUGAUGACGGCCUUCGGGUUGUAAAGCUCUGUUAAUCGGGACGCGGUACCGGAAUAGAAAGCCACGGCUAACUACGUGCCAGCAGCCGCGGUAAUAC
rnacentral:rRNA from 1 species